AGUGCUCACGCAGGUUGAGCAUUUAAAAAUGCAGCUAGCUGCAUAAAGUGCAGUUCUGACAAGAAUUGAGCAUCGCCUAAAUCAAGACACCACAGUUGAAAAUGCCAUGGAUUUAAAUGAAAUGCCCCUCUACCCUGCUACAACUGAGGAAGAAUUGAGGACCCUUGAAGCUAGUCUCGAAAACCGCGUCAUUUUUGCUGCACUGCACGUUUUCAUUCAAGGUGAAAGAACUAGGCCAAAUUGGAGGUUGUGACAUAAGCACGACCAUAAAAAAAAGUAAUGAAGAGGCUUCUUCAUGACAGUGUAGCGGUACUGUACAGCUAUACUGGAAGAAAAGGCAAACGACAGGCAGCGGAGCUCAACAUUGUUUGUCUUGUAUUUGCUGCUGUACGUACAACAUGCAAGGCAACAGAUGCUGAGAUCAGCCACGUGA